UACGGAGGGUGCAAGCGUUAAUCGGAAUUCCUGGGCGUAAAGCGCACGCAGGCGGUUUGUUAAGUCAGAUGUGAAAUCCCCGAGCUUAACUUGGGAACUGCAUUUGAAACUGGCAAGCUAGAGUCUUGUAGAGGGGGGUAGAAUUCCAGGUGUAGCGGUGAAAUGCGUAGAGAUCUGGAGGAAUACCGGUGGCGAAGGCGGCCCCCUGGACAAAGACUGACGCUCAGGUGCGAAAGCGUGGGGAGCAAACAGG
rnacentral:rRNA from 1 species